rnacentral:rRNA from 1 species
AGCAGAGUGACAGGUGGUGCAUGGUUGUCGUCAGCUCGUGUCGUGAGAUGUUGGGUUAAGUCCCGCAACGAGCGCAACCCUUGAUCUUAGUUGCCAUCAUUAAGUUGGGCACUCUAAGGUGACUGCCGGUGACAAACCGGAGGAAGGUGGGGAUGACGUCAAAUCAUCAUGCCCCUUAUGACCUGGGCUACACACGUGCUACAAUGGACGGUACAAAGAGCUGCAAGACCGCGAGGUGGAGCUAAUCUCAUAAAACCGUUCUCAGUUCGGAUUGUAGGCUGCAACUCGCCUACAUGAAGCUGGAAUCGCUAGUAAUCGCGGAUCAGCAUGCCGCGGUGAAUACGUUCCCGGGCCUUGUACACACCGCCCGUCACACCACGAGAGUUUGUAACACCCGAAGUCGGUGGGGUAACCUUUUGGAGCCAGCCGCCUAAGUGACAA